CCUACGGGGCGCUGCAGUGAGGAAUAUUGGUCAAUGGGCGCGAGCCUGAACCAGCCAAGUAGCGUGAAGGAUGACUGCCCUACGGGUUGUAAACUUCUUUUAUAAAGGAAUAAAGUGAGGCACGUGUGCCUUUUUGUAUGUACUUUAUGAAUAAGGAUCGGCUAACUCCGUGCCAGCAGCCGCGGUAAUACGGAGGAUCCGAGCGUUAUCCGGAUUUAUUGGGUUUAAAGGGAGCGUAGGUGGAUUGUUAAGUCAGUUGUGAAAGUUUGCGGCUCAACCGUAAAAUUGCAGUUGAAACUGGCAGUCUUGAGUACAGUAGAGGUGGGCGGAAUUCGUGGUGUAGCGGUGAAAUGCUUAGAUAUCAUACAGAACACCGAUUGCGAAGGCAGCUUACCAAGCUACUUCUGACGUUGAGGCACGAAAGCGUGGGGAGCAAACAGGAUUAGAUACCCUUGUAGUC
rnacentral:rRNA from 1 species